rnacentral:rRNA from 1 species
GCUCAACCGGGGAGGGUCAUUGGAAACUGGGGAACUUGAGUGCAGAAGAGGAGAGUGGAAUUCCACGUGUAGCGGUGAAAUGCGUAGAGAUGUGGAGGAACGCCAGUGGCGAAGGCGACUCUCUGGUCUGUAACUGACGCUGAGGCGCGAAAGCGUGGGGAGCGAACAGGAUUAGAUACCCUGGUAGUCCACGCCGUAAACGAUGAGUGCUAAGUGUUAGAGGGUUUCCGCCCUUUAGUGCUGCAGCAAACGCAUUAAGCACUCCGCCUGGGGAGUACGGUCGCAAGACUGAAACUCAAAGGAAUUGACGGGGGCCCGCACAAGCGGUGGAGCAUGUGGUUUAAUUCGAAGCAACGCGAAGAACCUUACCAGGUCUUGACAUCCUCUGACAACCCUAGAGAUAGGGCUUCCCCUUCGGGGGCAGAGUGACAGGUGGUGCAUGGUUGUCGUCAGCUCGUGUCGUGAGAUGUUGGGUUAAGUCCCGCAACGAGCGCAACCCUUGAUCUUAGUUGCCAGCAUUCAGUUGGGCACUCUAAGGUGACUGCCGGUGACAAACCGGAGGAAGGUGGGGAUGACGUCAAAUCAUCAUGCCCCUUAUGACCUGGGCUACACACGUGCUACAAUGGGCAGAACAAAG